rnacentral:rRNA from 1 species
AUUGAACGCUGGCGGCAUGCUUUACACAUGCAAGUCGAACGGCAGCGCGGGCUUCGGCCUGGCGGCGAGUGGCGAACGGGUGAGUAAUGCAUCGGAACGUGCCCAGUAGUGGGGGAUAGCCCGGCGAAAGCCGGAUUAAUACCGCAUACGACCUGAGGGUGAAAGCGGGGGAGCGAAAGGCCUCGCGCUAUUGGAGCGGCCGAUGUCGGAUUAGCUAGUCGGUGGGGUAAAGGCUUACCAAGGCGACGAUCCGUAGCUGGUCUGAGAGGACGACCAGCCACACUGGGACUGAGACACGGCCCAGACUCCUGCGGGAGGCAGCAGUGGGGAAUUUUGGACAAUGGGGGCAACCCUGAUCCAGCCAUGCCGCGUGCGAGAAGAAGGCCUUCGGGUUGUAAACCGCUUUUGUUCGGGAAGAAAUCCUCUGGGCUAAUACCCCGGGGGGAUGACGGUACCGGAAGAAUAAGCACCGGCUAACUACGUG